rfam:Oryza sativa (indica cultivar-group) chromosome 2, whole genome shotgun sequence.
AAAAAGACAAACCCUGAUUUCCGUGUCCAACGUUUGACCGUCCGUCUUAUUUAAAAAAAUUAUUAAAAAAUUAAAAAGAUAAUUCACGUAUAAAGUAUUAAUCAUGUUUUAUCAUCUAACAACAACGAAAAUAAUAAUUAUAAAAAAAAUUCAUAUAAGACGGACAGUCAAACGUUGGCACGGGAACCCAC